ensembl:lncRNA
UGUUUGAUGUGUGUUCAGACUGGAGCUCUCAUCCAGUUCACUGUAUAUGUGGUGAUCUUGCUCCACACUAUGGCUGCCCUCUGAUUGGUGUGUUCCUGAGUGGCACAAGAGCUAAGCACAUGUCUCACUGCCCUGAUAAAGAUGGACAAAGAAGCAGAGGUUCGAAGAGCUGCGGUCCACGUCAUUGCUCUGGUUCUCAGUGGCCUUAGUGAUAAAACCACUAAGGUUCUUGGGGAUGUUUUACUGGAGCUAUGUCAAGUGGGUGGUUAGGUCGGACCCAGAAGAGGUUCAGCAGAAACUUGAGAAAAAGAUUGUGUUACUUCCUUGAAAAGUCCUUCAGGACUAACAUAACCUCUUUAUAGACAGAGGAUUUCCUCCUAGAUUUUCACCAUACACUUGUGGUAAAUGAAAGAUUUAUACAUUUUCGGAGUGGGUUUUUUCACACCCAUAUUUUCAUUCUCAAACCAAAAACCCUGUCUUAGCAUUGAUAAACUAGCAUCAUGGCUUUUGUUAUCUGGUACACUGAGGUUAGAGGGCACCACAAGCUGUUUAAAGAGCGCUGCGG